rnacentral:lncRNA from 1 species
CCUGUAAGAAGUAGAAACAUUUUUUUUUAUGAGGGCUCCUUGCUCCUUUUACAAGAUUAGGACAAUGAAUGACACAACCCUUGUUCUUCUGCUGUAAUUAUGCACUAGUAUGGCUCUGCUCAAGGAGUUGGACACAAUGGCCGCUCACAGCAGAUGCGGUGCAGGGGGGGUGGUGGGCGUACACAUGUGUGCAUGUUUUUUUUUCUCUUCAUUCUCUGGUGGAGAUGCACACAAUGAACACUAUUCUUGGGCUCCAUGAUUUGAAUGAAUUCAGAAGAGUUGACAGAGGCACGCACUGUUUGGAUCGUCUGUUUGUGUGCCUUUCCCUCCCAUGAACAAGGCUUUUUCAUGAACGGGUGGCGUGCUUUAUUGUUCUGCAUGUGGCAGACUUAACAGCAAGAAAACUAUAUGGAGAAGGUGCAACGUUGACGCCAUGUGCUCGAGUCAGAAAGUAUUUCUAACUGAUCCAGGAAAAGGGGGUGUGGCACCCUGAAUGAGCGUGGGCCACUCACUCUCUCCCUCUCUGCUUUGAUGGAGUGGUUGCGUAAUAUAUCCCACCAUCCAACCAAUAGGUACAGAUACAAUCAUCCCACUGAGCCGUCGUGCACGUGCACGAGUGUUAGUUGGGGGGGUGUUUCUGUCUCUCCACGCCCCCCAUCUUUCAUCCCUGUGCUCCCAUAGGUCUGGUUCAAAGGUAACAGAGGGACCGGGGGCUCUAUAAAGAUCCAGAGGGUCCACGCUGACAUUCUGCUCUUUGCAUUUCUUCGGUUCUGACUUGUUUAUUCCACCAGCACACAUCAAAAUGCCCAGCAAGAGGAAGAAGAACAAGCGUCGCAUGAGGAGGGUGCAGGCGCAGAGGAGGGCGCUAGAAGAGCAGCAUGCAGCCAACCCACCAGUCAAAGCAAGCCCUGGCAUCGCAGCGAGUGCGCCCCCUGCAGCAACCCCAAAGAAAGGCGCUAAAGUGCCAGCACCAGUUCCAGUAAAGAUCCCAGACGCCGUUCCCAUCGCUGUCCCCAUCGUGGAGGCCCCUGUUGUCGAGGCCCCCAUUGUGGAGACCCUUGAAGUAGAACUCAAACCAGUUGUUCAAGAACCCAUCACAGAGCCCGUCCCAGUCGAGGUAGAGACACCAGAGCCUGAGGCUGUGGUGUUGGAACAGACUCCAGCAGAAGUCGAGGUUGAAGUCACGGCACCGGUCACUGAAGAAGCGCUGGUCGUUGAGACUCCACCAGCGGAGCCUGCUGUAGUUGAAGCUGAGAUUGUAGAGGAGGCCGAACCUAUCAUUCCCGAAACAGAACCAGAAACUGAGGUCAUACCCCCAGCUGAGGCUCCAGUGGAGGCUCUUGCUGAGAUUGAGAUUCAGACAGAGGUGACAGCAGUCACAACUACAGAGACAGAACAGACGCAAAAUGUCUGUGAGCCAGAGGCUGAAGUGGAGGCUGAGGCCUUGGCAGAGGAAGACACAGUCAUCGAGGCUGAGGCGGAAGUCGCCAUUACAGAAGAACCAGAGGUAGAGGCAGAGGCGCCUGAAGCAGAAGUCGCUGCAGAGGAGGCAGUUAUCGAAACAGUGGUGGAAUCGGUGGAGCAGGCUGUCACAGAGGCCCCCGAGGCAGAACAGGUGACUGAAGUCAGCCCUGCAGCUCCAGAAGAGGAAGACGCUGAAGUCGAAGUGCUGUCUGAAGAAGAAGCACCUGAAGUCCCCGCUGAGCCAGUUUCGAUGACAGAGGAUGCUCCUGUCCAAUCAGUGGAAAUCCUAGAGCUGCCAGUCACCAUCCCCGAGGCUGUGGUCGAAGAGGCUGAAGCCCCCGUAACCGCAGCGGAAGAGACCCCUGCCACACAGGCAAUCGCUGACAGCCUGGUCGACGACUUCGUUGUCACAGAAUCAGCCUCAGCAGUGGAGGUCGCCAUCGCUGAGUCUGCUGCUGUCGAGCCGGAAAUUGUGGAAGUGACUGACACCCUCGUAAUCCAGUCGGAAUGUUUGGAGGUGACGCCCGCUGAGCCUGAGCCCACUCCUGUUCUUGCCCCUGCAGAGGAAAUGAUCAUCGAUGCCGCUGCUGAGCAGACAUGUCGUGAUAUGCUCUCAGAAGAGCCAAAGCCAGAAAUCUGUGACAUCUCGUGUCAGAUGCAGCUCAACGUGGAGUCCGUGGAGACGUCGGUAGAGGCGACGCUCAAUGGACACAUUGUUCCAGAAGUCUCCAUUGAGGGCUAGAUACACAUCUCACAGCUUGGAAGACCUUUUUUGUCUUUAUUCCCCUUUGGUCAACUGGCGGACUCAAAGCUUUAAAGGGAGUCAACCAGUCGACGUUUUUUUAUUUUUCAGGGCUUACGACAGAACCGCCAGGAAAUUGAAGGGACAUCCACACUCUGAAGUGCCUUUCCUGCCCUUGUUCCUGUCAAAAACUCCAAACCAGAUGUCAACACGCCAACAACGGCUGCAUUCAAGGCAGCAC